GCUGACGACAGUAUAAACAACUGCAUAGACGUUGAUGUCGGUGCUUGGAACAAAAUGUGUACAACUCUUGCGAAUGUACGAUAAGAACUUUUCAUACAACUGAACUAUUUACGUUUCGUUCCUAACCUCAACAGCAGGGCUGGUUUUCGAGAUGGUGCAGCAGCUGGAAGGGAUGCAGUUUUUCAAAAAGGUUUUGACACUGGAUAUGCUGAAGGAUACCAAGCUGCAUUAUCAUUGGGUUAUUUAAAAGGUGCCUUAAGCACAAUCAUUCAUCAUACGGAGAUGGCCACUGAUUCUGCAGUUAGUGUAUUAAACACUUCUUUAGAGAAAACUUCAGUAGGCAUGUGUCAGUUGUGUCAGACAAAUCCUACUAAAAUUCAGGAUCACAAAGGAAUCGUCGUUACAAAAUCAAUGUCAGACAUUAUUGGUAAUCAAAGAGAUUAUAUAAGAAAUGCACUAGACAAAAUAGAAAAGGACAAUUCCCAUUUGCUAAACGAAUGGAGUGCGACACCAAAGGAAUCAACGGGAAGGAUAAAUUAGGACUUAGGUAUUUAAUAUAUUUCUUUAAUAUGACAGAGAAGGCCUGGAUAAUUUCAGUUGUAUAUAUUCUCACUAAAGUGAAUUAAUACAUUUAAGUCCAGUAUUUGAAUAAAAAUGUUUACUUUAAUUUA